GGUCGCCAUCCGGCCUCCGUACAACCAGAGGUACAACCGGGCACCAGAAGGGAAAUCGAUCUUUGUCCUUAGUAAUUUUUCCACGGUUUUUAGACUCCAGUAGGACAAAGGAACUUUGUUGUACUGAAGGGAAAAAAUGUCGGUCAGUUGCACGGAACAAUUUAAUGUCGUAAAUGAAUAUAAUUGUUCUUAUCAGAAGGUCAGUUGGCCACUUCCCCAUUUUAUAUUCUGAC
rnacentral:lncRNA from 1 species